CCCCGCAGGGGGGGGCCCGGCUGGCGGCGCUGGCCCGGGGCAGCGCGGAGGCCCUGGGGGGGCUGCGGGCCGAGGCGGCGGCGCUGGGCACCGUCCUGCGGCAGCUGCGCUACGGCGGCGAGGGCCAGCGCGCCCGGGCGCAGCGGCGGGCAGAGGAGCUGCGGGGGCAGCUGCGGGGUCACGAGAGCCGCUGCGCCGCCGCCCGCCGCGACCUGGCCGAGGCCGCCGGGGCCCUGGCUGUCGCCGAGGCCGCCCUGCGCCACGUGGCCGCCCUGCUGCCGCCCCUCGCCCCGGAGGACGAGCCCCCCCCCGAGGCGCCGGGGCGGCCGCUGGCGCUGGAGCUGCUGCUGGCGCAGACCCGGGCCCGGCUGGCGGCACUGCGGGAGCAGCCGCGGGGGCCCCCGCCGCCGCCCCC